CACCCACCCACCCACCCGCACGCACUCUCUCUCUCUCUCUCUCUCGCACGCUCGUCCCAACUCGCCUCCCCUCCUCUCCUCCCCCAACACAUUUAACCCAUACCCACCACAAAAUUACGACAACUGCACAGAUCACCCGCGGGUCCCGGCGGAUUCCUCGCCAUGAACGCCGCUGCGACAACGACGACGACGACGACGUGCCGGUCCAUACUCGACAAACCCCUCAACCAGCUCACCGAGGAGGACAUUUCCCAGCUCACCCGCGAAGACUGCCGCAAAUUCCUCAAAGAUAAAGGAAUGCGCAGACCCUCGUGGAACAAAUCGCAGGCGAUCCAGCAGGUGAUUUCCCUCAAGGCUCUGCUCGAGCCGAGCGUCGACGAUUCCGCCUCCGGAGUUCUCAGGAAGGCCGUCGUUUCUCUUCCGCGCGCGACUUCAAAUUCGGUUGAUUCGGUUAAGGAACCGAGUCCUGAUGUCCAAGUUUCAUUAUCGGCAGAAGAAUCACAAGGGAGAAGGGAUCCGCCCAAAUCAGCUCCUUCUGGGGAUCGAUCGGCUGAUAUAGAUAACAAUGCUGUUAGUCCCAGGAGUCCGAGUGCUACAAAUCCUUCAGUGGGGCAAAUGACGAUUUUCUAUUGUGGCAAGGUGAAUGUAUAUGAUGGAGUGCCAACUGAUAAGGCACAAGCAAUCAUGCAUCUUGCUGCAAGUCCGAUCCAUUUACCUCAGGAUGAUGCACUUUGUGGAGCUGCAGCUGUUUGGUCUCCAUGCCAUUUACAGAUAUCAAGUGACAAAGAUCAUCUUAUUCCUCCUUGUAACAAUAUCUCGCAAAUCAUGCAAACAGAGAAGGUGACAGAAUAUGCUCAGCAGUAUAGGGACAAAGGGAGCAUUCCUCGUGACCCUGAUGUAGAGGGUCAGGCGAACAGAAAGGUCUCAUUGCAGAGAUAUCUGGAAAAGCGGAAAGACAGGGGAAGGUUAAAGAUAAAGAAAACUAUGGGAUCGACAACUUCUAGUUUGGAGAUGUACUUAAACCAUCAAGUGAGGACACAUGUACCAAAUGGGAAAUCAAGCCGGAGUAGCACGAGCUCUCCACCACAGCAUGGACUACCACAAACCGUUAGUUCUGUCGACAAUCAGCUAAAGAGUGCUGGUCUUGCUGUUGAUCUCAACGACAAAGAUGUCCAAGACUGCUGAAUUGGAACCACUCUUUAGGUCAGACGGUGUUUGGAGUUAAAUUGAGAGCCGUACUUAGAUAAUCACUAGGCUAAACAUAAACGGGGAAGACGAAACCAAUGUGACAGCCCCCUCCAUGGCCUGCCUUUUGCAUGAUUUGUGCUGGCUCUACGGACAGUAAGUCUUGUAAUGUCUAUUUCUGGAGAAGCUGCUGUGGAAAAUUUUCUGUUCUGAAUGGGGGGGCCAGUUCGAACUAACCUGAUCAAUUUUGUAAUGCCAACAAUCAUUUUUCCUUCUUUAGGAAUCUCUUUCUCGAGGAUGGUUAGGGUAACAGAUGGUAGUAGUGGCCGUGGUGCCCCCGGUUAAGGGCGAUAUCCUAAGAGGUAAUGAUGGUGCUGGUAGUAGUGAUAUGGUGGCAUCAUUCGCAAUGGGGAUGGGGCUGGAAGUUGGGUGCGUUUGACCCUUUUUUGUGUUUGGGGUGACUCAGACGUCUUGUCGUUUUCUACUCAUGUUUCCAAAAUUUUCACAAACUACUACUUAUCGUUUUGUUAGCUGUGGGUCCCCACGGCCACUUUGCAAGGCUAUUAUUGCAUUCCAAAACUGGUUUUCUGGGCGGUGGCAGUUAAAAUGUCUCAAGGCGAAAUGUGACAGAAAAAUCGAUUGUUUAUCGCAAUUGGAUUCGAAGUGGAAUGCCUCUGCCUUCCACCUCACUGUUUUAGAAAAGUGAGAUAAUCAAUUGCAAUACAAUUAAGAUCAUCAUUUGUUGAUGGCAAAGGCUUGUGUUCUCCUCUCCUGUUUAACUUCCCUUUCCGAAUAAAUACGUAGUAUGUUAAUUUUGGUUUUGAGUA